CCUACGGGAGGCAGCAGUGAGGAAUAUUGGUCAAUGGGCUUACGCCUGAACCAGCCAAGUCGCGUGAGGGAAGACUGCCCUAUGGGUUGUAAACCUCUUUUGUCAGGGAGCAACGCCGGCUACGUGUAGCCGGACUGAGAGUACCUGAAGAAAAAGCAUCGGCUAACUCCGUGCCAGCAGCCGCGGUAAUACAUAGGGGGCAAGCGUUAUCCGGAAUUAUUGGGUGUAAAGGGUGCGUAGACGGAAGAACAAGUUGGUUGUGAAAUCCCUCGGCUCAACUGAGGAACUGCAACCAAAACUAUUCU
rnacentral:rRNA from 1 species